rnacentral:rRNA from 1 species
CUUUGAUCAUGGCUCAGGAUGAACGCUAGCUACAGGCUUAACACAUGCAAGUCGAGGGGAAACGAUAGAGAAAGCUUGCUUUUUCUAGGCGUCGACCGGCGCACGGGUGAGUAACGCGUAUCCAACCUGCCCAUCACUUGGGGAUAACCUUGCGAAAGUAAGACUAAUACCCAAUGAUAUCUCUAGAAGACAUCUGAAAGAGAUUAAAGAUUUAUCGGUGAUGGAUGGGGAUGCGUCUGAUUAGCUUGUUGGCGGGGUAACGGCCCACCAAGGCUACGAUCAGUAGGGGUUCUGAGAGGAAGGUCCCCCACAUUGGAACUGAGACACGGUCCAAACUCCUACGGGAGGCAGCAGUGAGGAAUAUUGGUCAAUGGACGAGAGUCUGAACCAGCCAAGUAGCGUGCAGGAUGACGGCCCUAUGGGUUGUAAACUGCUUUUAUAAGGGAAUAAAGUGAGUCUCGUGAGGCUUUUUGCAUGUACCUUAUGAAUAAGGACCGGCUAAUUCCGUGCCAGCAGCCGCGGUAAUACGGAAGGUCCGGGCGUUAUCCGGAUUUAUUGGGUUUAAAGGGAGCGUAGGCCGGAGAUUAAGCGUGUUGUGAAAUGUAGAUGCUCAACAUCUGCACUGCAGCGCGAACUGGUUUCCUUGAGUACGCACAAAGUGGGCGGAAUUCGUGGUGUAGCGGUGAAAUGCUUAGAUAUCACGAAGAACUCCGAUUGCGAAGGCAGCUCACUGGAGCGCAACUGACGCUGAAGCUCGAAAGUGCGGGUAUCGAACAGGAUUAGAUACCCCGGUAGUCCGCACGGUAAACGAUGGAUGCCCGCUGUUGGUCUGAAUAGGUCAGCGGCCAAGCGAAAGCAUUAAGCAU